rnacentral:misc_RNA from 1 species
GAAAUGCGAUAAGUAAUGUGAAUUGCAGAAUUCAGUGAAUCAUCGAAUCUUUGAACGCAUCUUGCGCUCCUUGGUAUUCCUUGGAGCAUGCCUGUUUGAGUAUCAUGAAAUCUUCACAGUAAAUCUUUUGUUAACUCAAUUGGUUUCUACUUUGGUAUUGGAGGUCUUUGCAGCUUCACACCUGCUCCUCUUUGUUCAUUAGCUGGAUCUCAGUGUUAUGCUUGGUUCCACUCGGCGUGAUAAGUUAUCUAUCGCUGAGGACACUGUAAAAGGUGGCCAAGGUAAAUGCAGAUGAACCGCUUCUAAUAGUCCAUUGACUUGGACAAUACUUUUAUGAUCUGAUCUCAAAUCAGGUAGGACUACCCGCUGAACUUAAGC